GCACCUGCAAAAACCACAAGGGGUCCGACCCAUUGUUUCUUUACCAUUCACCAGUAACACAAAUUUUGUUUUAUAUAUAUUAACCUAUUAUUAAGGUUAAUUACAACAUAAAAAGUAGUAAAUGACGAAUCACAGAUCUCAAUGAGGCUUCCUCUGUUUCUGGGAUCCUAAUGACAAAUCUGAUGUGGGUCGGUGUCCAAUCCGGUUCUUUCUCUUUUGCCACCAUUCAAGGCCAUGCCUCGCCAUU